rnacentral:rRNA from 1 species
AUUGAACGCUGGCGGCAUGCCUUACACAUGCAAGUCGAACGGCAGCGCGGACUUCGGUCUGGCGGCGAGUGGCGAACGGGUGAGUAAUGCAUCGGAACGUACCUUUCAGUGGGGGAUAACGUAGCGAAAGUUACGCUAAUACCGCAUAUUCUGUGAGCAGGAAAGCAGGGGAUCGCACGACCUUGCGCUGAUUGAGCGGCCGAUGUCAGAUUAGCUAGUUGGUGAGGUAAAGGCUCACCAAGGCGACGACCUGUAGCGGGUCUGAGAGGAUGAUCCGCCACACUGGGACUGAGACACGGCCCAGACUCCUACGGGAGGCAGCAGUGGGGAAUUUUGGACAAUGGGGGCAACCCUGAUCCAGCCAUGCCGCGUGAGUGAAGAAGGCCUUCGGGUUGUAAAGCUCUUUCGGCCGGGAAGAAAUCGCAUGGGUUAAUACCCUGUGUGGAUGACGGUACCGGAAUAAGAAGCACCGGCUAACUACGUGCCAGCCGCCGCGGUAAGAC